AUUGAACGCUGGCGGCAGGCUUAACACAUGCAAGUCGAACGAGUGGCCGACGGGUGAGUAAUGCUUGGGAAUCUAGCUUAUGGAGGGGGAUCACUACGGGAAACUGCAGCUAAUACCGCGUACCAUAGGCUGAGCCCAAGUGGGAUUAGGUACAUGGUGAGGUAAAGCCUCACCAAGCCGACGAUCUCUAGCUGGUCUGAGAGGAUGACCAGCCACACGGGGAAUGGGACACGACCCAGACUCCUACGGGAGGCAGCAGUGGGAGAUAUUGCGCAAGGGGGGCAACCUGACGCAGCCAUGCCGCGUGAAUGAAGAGAGCCUUCGGGUUGUAAAGUUCUUGCGGUGGCAAGGCGUUAACUGCAGGAGAGGCACCGGCUAACUCCGUGCCAGCCGCCGCGGUAAUAC
rnacentral:rRNA from 1 species